GUGCAUGUGACUUCUGGAACAGAAACCAGAACAUCUGCCCCUCCCCCUGAAAGACAUGGGGACACUCCUAGAACUGGUUUAGACGAUGGUCGCUCAAGCUUCUCAUUCCUCUUUGAGCCAUAGAAUCUCAAAAUGUGAAGCAUGCAUUGCAGGAGGACUUGGACAUCACCUUGUGUUGUUUUUGUCUCCACAUAAAUAAAAUAUAUAUGGAUGUUUAUUUUAUCAUCAUAUUCGAUGCUCUUUAUAUUUUUGAUGAAUGACAACAUAAAGUGUUUAAAGUCAGAUGUUAGAAUAAGUAAGAUGGUCUUGAAAUGCCUCUAUGUGUAUUCCUUGUGACAUAGUAACAAUACUGUUCAUUACUUGUCAGUGUCUACCAACUUAUGAUUUGAUCCUAUGAGAAAUAAAUCCAAUUCUUCACAAUU